GAAAUGCGAUAAGUAAUGUGAAUUGCAGAAUUCAGUGAAUCAUCGAAUCUUUGAACGCACCUUGCGCUCCUUGGUAUUCCUUGGAGCAUGCCUGUUUGAGUAUCAUGAAAUCUUCAAAGUAAAUCUUUUGUUAACUCAAUUGGUUUCUACUUUGGUAUUGGAGGUCUUUGCAGCUUCACACCUGCUCCUCUUGGUUCAUUAGCUGGAUCUCAGUGUUAUGCUUGGUUCCACUCGGCGUGAUAAGUUAUCUAUCGCUGAGGACACUGUAAAAGGUGGCCAAGGUAAAUGCAGAUGAACCGCUUCUAAUAGUCCAUUGACUUGGACAAUACUUUUAUGAUCUGAUCUCAAAUCAGGUAGGACUACCCGCUGAACUUAAGC
rnacentral:misc_RNA from 1 species